rnacentral:misc_RNA from 1 species
AGCUUCAAACAAAUCAAUCCCAUUUUUCACAAGCAUGGCCCUUGAAGGAGCUUUUGUUACUCUGUCUGGCCACUUAGGAAUUGUCCCUACAGCAUAUUCCCCAUUGACAGAAGAUGCCCUACUCACACAUUUCUUUAAUUUUAAGUACCAGGCAUAGCUUGGGUCAUCUGUUUCUUCACAUAGUUCAAGCCCAAAUUCAUUUUGGUUGGGCAGGCAUGAAUCUCCAGCAGGCUUUUUCCAGAUGACAGUGUUUCCAUCCACAGCAAUCAGCUCAUAACACAAUGCUCUUGCCACACCUUGGAGAUCUGCCCAUUCCUUAUCUUGUUUAGCCCACUGAACAGGAGGACCAGAGAUGACUAAAUAUCCUCCAGGGCGAAGUAAUCGAUCCACUUCAAUGAAAUAAGUUGCAUUAUAGGCUGUAAAAGGGAUCAAACAUCGAGAGCAAUGCACCAAGUCAAAUGAGAAAGCGGGGAAUGGGAGUCUGCGAGUGCCAAGCAUGGC